rnacentral:rRNA from 1 species
UACGAACUGUGCGAACGUUAUUCGGAAUCACUGGGCUUACAGGGUGCGUAGGCGGCUAUUCAGGUCAGGUGUGAAAGCCCCCGGCUCAACCGGGGAACUGCGCUUGAAACCGAGUGGCUCGAGUCAGCUAGAGGUACACGGAACUUCCAGUGGAGCGGUGAAAUGUGUUGAUAUUGGAAGGAACACCGGAGGCGAAAGCGGUGUACUGGGGCUGGUCUGACGCUGAGGCACGAAAGCCAGGGGAGCGAACGGGAUUAGAAACCCGCGUAGUCC